GGCUUGUGGUAAGGCCCUUCCUGGCAUCCAGAGGAUAUAGCUUUUUAAUUUUUGUGACUCAUGAGGAUUUGGAUAGAAUACAAAUGCUGAAGGAGCUCAAACUCCUUUUAAUUAAAUUAUAUGAAAACUCAAACACUGCCAUGUCCAUGGUUGUUUCAGCAACUUUGUUUGAAACUGCUUAUCAAUAACAGCUGUAAUACUGUGGCUUUUCUCCAUGGACUCAUGGUGGUCUUUGGAACAACGUUCUUCAACUUUGACAGGUGAGACAGAGGCUCUCCAGUACCACUGCUUUUGGAUGAAUCUAGCUGUGGUUGGAGAAAGUGCAUCUUGCCAAAAUAUAUGGGUGAGACCACACACAGCCUUUAAAAUAGUUAUUGUAGGCUUAUUUUUAGGGUUACAUGUCUUGACAGUUCUUUUAUUUGCAUGCCAAUUUCAUGGCUGUGUAUAGAUUUUUCAUUGGUUUCAGUAAAGGCAGUUGCAGAUUUAGGUAUCUAUUUGUUAAGCCUUGUUUAUAAUUUACCCUGGAAAAUACUCCUGAGUUGAUCUACAAUUAACAAUAUAGAAAAUAUAUUGAAAAUGAAUCAUUAGAAUACUGAUCUUCUGUUUUUGUAAAUUUGAUAGUAUUCCCAUUGGAAAUCUCAAUUUCCCAGAUGGUUUAGUAGUAAAAUACUGCUCCAAUUUGAACUUCAAAUAAAUUAGGAUAGAAUGUUAAAAUAGUCUUAUACUUUAAUUACAUUAAUAGUAAAAUAAAAGUGGUUUUUGUUAUUCAGAAGUAAAUAUUUUUAUAAUGCUGAUUAAUAAAAGCAGUGUUCAAAAUGCAGUUUUUACACUUUAGUAAAAGCUUGAAAGCAUUGAAACAAAUUACCAAGGAGGUCAAUUUCUUAAUACAUAGGCAUAAAAAUGCAAAGCCAUCUAAUCUUUUUAUGGAGUGAUUAAAAGUUUAUUCAACUUAGUAAACUAUAAAAUUGACUGUAUGUUUAGUCUUUUGAAGCUGGCUUUUUCCGUGAUCAGUAAAGACUAAAAGCCCUUUAGACUUUCAUAAAAUAUUUCUUUUUAUAAAAUGAUGUAUUUGGAUGAAUUAUUUAUGAUUCUUAUUAAGCUAUUAGUGAUAACUAUAUUAAAACUUCUUGAAUCCUGUCAAGACUUUUUAUUGGAUGAACAAUGAAUGUUGGUUAGGCUUAUAUUUAUAGAGAAUUAUAACCAGCUAAAAUAAGAUUACAGUUUCAUUCUAGAUAUUUUCAUAGGGAAAACAGAAUCUACCGAGAUAACUGGAAAUUCUGUUUCUUCUCUAAUAUUAUUGCAAUACUCUUCCAUUGUUGAAUGGGUCUGGCAGGAAAGUACUGGGGAAAUGUGUUCCUACAGUUUUUCCAGAGAACAAGUUUAUGGAAAGAAGAAAGAACACUGCAUAUACAAAAAGAUUGUUUAAAGAAAAUUUAGCCCUUGCCUUUCAGAAAUUGGUCAUGUAUGCAAGCCCUGAUUGGAUGCUAGAUUUAAAAAGGAGAGCUUUAUAAGUCAAUUUUAGGAUAUUUGAGGAAACUCAAAUAUGGAAGGGAUAUUGGUAAUACUAUGGAAUACAUUAAGUGUGAUAAUGGUAUUGCAUUUUGGAAAAUAUCUUUAUUCUUAAAAGAGGUGCAUGAUGAAUUAUUUUCAUGAAGUCAAUACCAUACUUAAACAAGUGCAUACAUAAAACAAAUGUGGCAAAAUGUUAGUUUGGUGAAUCCAGGCAAAAGAUACACAGGCAUUCAUUUUACUGCUUUUAUUAUCUUAAACAGUGAAUUCUGAAGGAUGAAGCAUUUUGUGGGAAAGGAAUAUAGGGAUUUGAUUUCAAAUUGAAAUCUGAUAUUUGGGAAAAAUUCAUUUUUUUGUAUAAGUAGUUUAAAAAAAAUAAGUGAAUAUGAACAGCACAGGCUAUAUACAUAGCAUUUUAGAUUUUACUUUAUAGUUUUUUCUAAUUUAAAUUCUAUUCACAGUAAAAGAGCAAAUUUUCACAACUUUACACAUGGCAAAUAUAAAUUAUAAAUGCUAUAAUAUUUUUGAAAAUACCAACUUUCAAAAUGUUACAGUAACACAAGUCUAUACAAAUAAGCUAGAGAAUUCUAGAGGAACAAAGCAAGCAUCUGCUAUUACUGUGUCAUUUGUUUAUUCUUACCUGGAUACUUCUAAAAUACAUGAAAUAUGUUAAAAAGUUCAUUCCUAUUAAAUACUACUGAAUUUUACUACUGCUAUAAAUAGUUUAUACUAUUAAUUACACUAUGUAAAAAAGUAUUUUAAUAAGCAGAAACCUAAAUCUCUAUAUGCACAUUAUUAAUUCUGAAUUUGUGUGUAUUAGUUAAGACCCUACCAGGUGCUUAUACAUUUUUUAUGUAAAGGGCUGGGGAGUAAGUAUUUUUGGCUUUGUGGGCCAUAGGGUCUCUGUCCACUACUCAACUCUGCUGUUAUAGUCGGAAAGCAGACAAUAAAUUAGACAAAAAGUAAAUGAAUGGGUAUGGCUCUGUUCCACUUGAACUUUAUUUACAUAUAAACAAGCUAGCCUGCCUGUUUUUCGCCCACUUCUGCCACCUAUAUUUUACGUAUAGAAAUUGGUGACCCAGUAGAUAACCUCUUUUGUAGAACAGGCAAGAAUAAUUUGAAAUAAUGAUCUUACUUUUAAUUUACAUGUUACAAUGGAAUUCUUUCUUCAAGUAUUUACAAAAUCUGAGUUUUUUUGUUUUUUGUGUUUAUUGUAUGUGAAAGAUCACAUUUAGGGCACUUCAUCACUGUCUAUUAAAUUGAGUAGUGCAAUUUUAUCCUGAUCAUAUAAUUAUUAUAUAUUAUGAAUAGUUUUACAAGGCACUUUAAAGUCCUUUUAGGGAUAAGGUUGGAAUCCAAAUAAAUAAUCUCGGUUGUAGCCUAUCCCCAAAUUAUUAUAAAUAUCAAUAUUUAAUUUAUCUACUUCUUCAUUAUUACUAACAAGAAAGAUGCUAAGAUUCCUAUACGUUUUAUCCACAGAAAUAUUUUCUUUUUCAGAAUUCACUGGGUUUAUUGUCAAAGCAUAGAUAUUUAACAGCACUAUUAACAGCUCUUAUUAUAUAUUUGAGUGAUUUUGAUGAGCUAUUUUCCUGCUGUUUCAUUUAUAUUUGAAUUUAAAUCUGACUAGAAAAAGGAAUUAAUUAUUUAUGGUAUUAAUCUCCAAAACAUUCACUGAACCCACCAUUGGACAUAAUAUCCCAAGUAAAUUAGUUUUCUGAGGAUUCACGUACAUUAGAUAGAUAAUUAUUUAUUGGAUAAUGGUGAUGGUUACAACUGAGGUGGAAAAGUAACUGUGAUAUAAUGAGUUAUAAGAAAUAUGUAUCUGGUC